CGGUUAAAUCAUGCUGAAACACAAGUUCCCAUAUGAUCACUGAAGUUAAGCAAUGUCAAGCCUGGUUAAUACCUAGCUGGGUGACCACAUAGGAAAACCAGGUGCUGUAAG